rnacentral:rRNA from 1 species
GAUGAACGCUGGCGGCGUGCCUAAUACAUGCAAGUCGAGCGAACGGACGAGAAGCUUGCUUCUCUGAUGUUAGCGGCGGACGGGUGAGUAACACGUGGAUAACCUACCUAUAAGACUGGGAUAACUUCGGGAAACCGGAGCUAAUACCGGAUAAUAUUUUGAACCGCAUGGUUCAAAAGUGAAAGACGGUCUUGCUGUCACUUAUAGGUGGAUCCGCGCUGCAUUAGCUAGUUGGUAAGGUAACGGCUUACCAAGGCAACGAUGCAUAGCCGACCUGAGAGGGUGAUCGGCCACACUGGAACUGAGACACGGUCCAGACUCCUACGGGAGGCAGCAGUAGGGAAUCUUCCGCAAUGGGCGAAAGCCUGACGGAGCAACGCCGCGUGAGUGAUGAAGGUCUUCGGAUCGUAAAACUCUGUUAUUAGGGAAGAACAUAUGUGUAAGUAACUGUGCACAUCUUGACGGUACCUAAUCAGAAAGCCACGGCUAACUACGUGCCAGCAGCCGCGGUAAUACGUAGGUGGCAAGCGUUAUCCGGAAUUAUUGGGCGUAAAGCGCGCGUAGGCGGUUUUUUAAGUCUGAUGUGAAAGCCCACGGCUCAACCGUGGAGGGUCAUUGGAAACUGGAAAACUUGAGUGCAGAAGAGGAAAGUGGAAUUCCAUGUGUAGCGGUGAAAUGCGCAGAGAUAUGGAGGAACACCAGUGGCGAAGGCGACUUUCUGGUCUGUAACUGACGCUGAUGUGCGAAAGCGUGGGGAUCAAACAGGAUUAGAUACCCUGGUAGUCCACGCCGUAAACGAUGAGUGCUAAGUGUUAGGGGGUUUCCGCCCCUUAGUGCUGCAGCUAACGCAUUAAGCACUCCGCCUGGGGAGUACGACCGCAAGGUUGAAACUCAAAGGAAUUGACGGGGACCCGCACAAGCGGUGGAGCAUGUGGUUUAAUUCGAAGCAACGCGAAGAACCUUACCAAAUCUUGACAUCCUUUGACAACUCUAGAGAUAGAGCUUUCCCCUUCGGGGGACAAAGUGACAGGUGGUGCAUGGUUGUCGUCAGCUCGUGUCGUGAGAUGUUGGGUUAAGUCCCGCAACGAGCGCAACCCUUAAGCUUAGUUGCCAUCAUUAAGUUGGGCACUCUAAGUUGACUGCCGGUGACAAACCGGAGGAAGGUGGGGAUGACGUCAAAUCAUCAUGCCCCUUAUGAUUUGGGCUACACACGUGCUACAAUGGACAAUACAAAGGGCAGCGAAACCGCGAGGUCAAGCAAAUCCCAUAAAGUUGUUCUCAGUUCGGAUUGUAGUCUGCAACUCGACUACAUGAAGCUGGAAUCGCUAGUAAUCGUAGAUCAGCAUGCUACGGUGAAUACGUUCCCGGGUCU